CUGGUGCACCCACUCGGGGAUCUCGUCCACGUCGCCCGGCGGGUAGAGGCGCUCCUGGCCGGGCCCGCGCUUCUGCAGCUGGGCGCCGUAAGUGUAGCCUUCGCCAAAGAAGUACUUGUUGCGCAGUGGGGCCCGGUCCACCGUGUGCUCGUUGUACAGGCCCUUCUCGGCGCGGGACACCACCUCGUCGAUGCGGGCCUCGAUCUUGGCGCACUCGUCCUGGCUGAAGAGGCGCAUCUGGCGGAUGCCGCUCUUCACCUUGCGCGCCUCCUCCUCCUUCUGCAGCUGCUGCUCCUCGUAGUCGCUGCGCUCGGGGUCCGAGUCCUCCUGAUACUUGCGCUUGGCCCCGGACACCGGACGGGGUUUCGCUCUUGUUACCCAGGCUGGAGUGCAAUGGCGCGAUCUCGGCUCACCGCAACCUCCGCCUCCUGGGUUCAGGCAAUUCUCCUGCCUCAGCCUCCUGAGUAGCUGGGAUUACAGGCAUGCGCCACCAUGCCCAGCUAAUGUUUUGUAUUUUUGGUAGAGACGGGGUUUCACCAUGUUGACCAGGACGGUCUCGAUCUCUUGACCUCGUGAUCCACCCACCUCGGCCUCCCAAAGUGCUGGGAUUACAGGCUUGAGCCACCGCGCCCGGCCCGCAUGUAAAUUCUUUAGAUUUAAAAAAUACGAAUCCAAUCAAUAAAUGGUAACAGUUUCUGUCUGUUGCCAUGGUUACUGCCUGGCUCCCACAGCACACAAUGGGCAGUGACCCAGGCUCAGUGCUCCCAAUUGGAGUGGGUGUAGGGGAAGGCAUCAAUGAAUUGCAGAAAAUCGAUCUAUGAGUGUGGUUCUCAGAUCAAAGCCGUUGUUGGAAUCCCCCCAGGGAAGCUACUCUGAGAAAGGAUAAAAUCAUGUUAGUCGCACUCUCUGAGUGUUAACUGUGUGCCAGGCCUUGUCCUAAAGGCCUGAUGUGUCCUACCUGUUUUAAUCCCCACAGUGUCUCUAAGAGACAGGAGCUAUUAUAUUCCAUUCCACAGGUGGGGAAACUGAGCUGCAGGGCCUUGAAGCUCCAGACUGCACAACUUGUAGGUGGUGGGAUUUGAACCUGGAUGGUAAGAGGCCUGAGAGCCACAUUGUGAAGUGCUGUCUGCUGAGGUUAGCUAUGCUGGCCCUGCCUUGUGGGCCACCUUAGCUAAUUAAAUCAGUAUGUGCAAAUGGAGUCUUCCCCUCCAGCCAGUCCUUUACCUACCCACUUGCUGCCAUGUUCUAGGCCUUGCUGGGAUUGUUGCUGCAUUUGACAGUAUGGAAGCUGAGGCUCAGUGAGAAGCAGGGAUGCCUCAAGAUCCCCUCAGACAGUCUGUCAGAGGUAGACAGGAUGGGGGCCCAGGUCUAUUGCAACGCUGCUGCACUUAGACAUCACCUCCUCCUGGAAGCUCUCCCUGAUUACCUCCCAGAUAGCUCUGGUCCCUUAUAUACCCUCCCAGCACUGAUCAAGGGAUAUUGGAGAGAUUCUUUUAUAUCUAAAACUCGAGGCUCUGUGAGGGCCAGGGCUGAGGGGAUCUCAGUCAUUUCAGUAUCUUUGCUACACAGAGAUGCUCAAUGGAUCUGAAUGCAUGAAUGAAUGCAGCCCCUGACACAUACAGGCCAGAGGCAGAGGUGGCAGCAUAAAGAGAUCAGGUGAUGCUGCAAGGAAGUAGGAAAACCAAAGAGGCCUUUAUCCAUCCAUCCAUCCAUUCAUCUAUGCCCCCACCCAUGCAAUCCACAAAUAUGUAUUGAGCAUCUACUAUGUGCCAGGCACUGAGCUACAGACACAGUAUGAACAAGAUGGACACAUUCCUGCUUCUUGGAGCUGGCAUUCUGAUGGGAAAAUGAUACAGUUUGGAUAUUUGUUCCUUCCAAAUCUCAUGUUGAAUUGUGAUCCCCAGCCAGGUGUGGCGGCUCAUACCUGUAAUUCCAGCACUUUGGGAGGCCAAGAGGGUGGAUCACUUGAGGCCAGGAGUUUCAGACCAACCUGGCCAACAUGGUGAAACCUCGUCUCUACUAAAAUAAUUAAUUAAAAAAAAGAAGCCAGGUGUGGUGGCACAUAUCUGUAAUCCCAGUAUUUGGGAGGCUCAGGCAGGAGAAUUGCUUGAACUGGGGAGGCAGAGGUUCUAGUGAGCCGAGAUACUCUGCCUGGGCAACAGAGUGAGACCUUGU